AAGGNCCGGGGCUUGCCCCGGUUACCUUAGUGGCGGACGGGUGAGUAACGCGUGGGAACCUGCCCAGGAGCGGGGAAUAACCACUGGAAACGGUGGCUAAUACCGCAUACGCCCUCCGGGGGAAAGGCUUCGGCCACUCUUGGAUGGUCCCGCGUCUGAUUAGCUUGUUGGUAGGGUAACGGCCUACCAAGGCGACGAUCAGUAGCUGGUCUGAGAGGAUGAUCAGCCACACUGGAACUGAGACACGGUCCAGACUCCUACGGGAGGCAGCAGUGGGGAAUAUUGGACAAUGGGGGAAACCCUGAUCCAGCAAUGCCGCGUGAGUGAAGAAGGCCUUAGGGUUGUAAAACUCUUUCAGUCGUGACGAUGAUGACGGUAACGACAGAAGAAGCCCCGGCUAACUCCGUGCCAGCAGCCGCGGUAAUACGGAGGGGGCUAGCGUUGUUCGGAAUUACUGGGCGUAAAGCGCACGCAGGCGGUGUAGUUAGUCAGAGGUGAAAGGCUUGGGCUUAACCCAGGAACUGCCUUUGAUACUGCUAUGCUUGAGCCCGGGAGAGGGUAGCGGAAUUCCCAGUGUAGAGGUGAAAUUCGUAGAUAUUGGGAAGAACACCAGUUGCGAAGGCGGCUACCUGGCCCGGUGCUGACGCUGAGGUGCGAAAGCGUGGGGAGCGAACAGGAUUAGAUACCCUGGUAGUCCACGCCGUAAACGAUGAGUGCUAGUUGUUGGGGGUUCUGCUCUCAGUGACGCAGCUAACGCAUUAAGCACUCCGCCUGGGGAGUACGGCCGCAAGGUUAAA
rnacentral:rRNA from 1 species